GAGAUCUGAAUGAUGACAAUGAGGAGGUCAGGUGAAGAUCCUGGACAAGAAGAUUCUUAGCAGAAGGCACGGCAGGAACAAAGGGCCUGAGAGUGGAAUGAGCUUGCUUCAGCGGAGUCAGUGAGAGGCCCUGGCGCCCAGAACAUGGGAGCAAGGGAGCGGGGCCAUUGUGAGAGCAGAAAGACAGACAGGUGCCGGGUCAGGUAGGACUCUGAGGACCGAGGGAAGGAGUUUGGAUUUUACUCUGGUUCAGGGAGAGGCCUUUGGAGGGUUUCAAGUAGGGGAAAUAUGUAAUCUGAUUUUGCUUCAAGAAGACUCCUCCAGCUGGCUGCUCUGUGGAGGAAACAGACGGACGGAAGAGAGGUAACAGCACGGAGAAGUCAGCCUCUUGAGCUCAAGCCUUCACAUCUUGAGGCACUGCCUGAGAUGACCUACUUAACCCGAGUGAGGCAGGGCAGACUAGAAAGGCCGCAAGACCAUUAUUUCACAGAAUGUGUCUGGCAUGUUUUGCACUGACUAACAGAGAGAACACUGCAUCGACCGCGACAUAAUUACACUUCCUUCUGUACAACGUCGUCCACACCUGACAUGUGGAAUGUGCCCAGGACUGGCUGUGAACCCUACAAAACUGCCGUACGAUAAAUUAUCGCCAUCAUUCCUCACAAGGCUUGGUCACAUUUGCCCGUAGCCAUUGGACGGACCUACCUUUUAAAAAUAGAUGUGUUUUUGCGCUCUUGAAACUACUUAUUUUCUUGCUCUUUGUCACAGCCAGCCUAGUUUAAGCUGACGGUAAAAAGAGGUUUUGGAGGUUUUCCACCACAAGGUUAUUUAAA
rnacentral:lncRNA from 1 species